rnacentral:rRNA from 1 species
CCUACGGGUGGCAGCAGUGAGGAAUAUUGGUCAAUGGGCGCGAGCCUGAACCAGCCAAGUCGCGUGAGGGAAGACGGUCCUAUGGAUUGUAAACCUCUUUUGUCGGGGAGCAAAAGACGCCACGCGUGGCGUUCCGAGAGUACCCGAAGAAAAAGCAUCGGCUAACUCCGUGCCAGCAGCCGCGGUAAUACGGAGGAUGCGAGCGUUAUCCGGAUUUAUUGGGUUUAAAGGGUGCGCAGGCGGAAGAUCAAGUCAGUGGUAAACUUGAGAGGCUCAACCUCUUCGAGCCGUUGAAACUGGUUUUCUUGAGUGAGCGAGAAGUAUGCGGAAUGCGUGGGGUAGCGGUGAAAUGCAUAGAUAUCACGCAGAACUCCGAUUGCGAAGGCAGCAUACCGGCGCUCAACUGACGCUCAUGCACGAAAGUGUGGGUAUCGAACAGGAUUAGAUACCCUAGUAGUC